rnacentral:misc_RNA from 1 species
CUCCUAUCUAGCUACUGAACACGAAGAAGAAAAAGAAGAAAAAUGUCUACUAGCACUUUUUUCCUCCUCUUCUUCUUCUCCAUUCUAACCCCACGUUUCGCUUUCUCUUCCCUAGUUCCGGAUCCUGAGCUAGUUGUACAAGAGGUACACAGGAGCAUCAAUGCCUCGAGGAGGAACCUUGCCUUCCUCUCAUGUGGAACCGGCAACCCCAUCGACGACUGCUGGCGGUGCGACCCCAACUGGGAGAGGAACCGCCAGAGGCUGGCAGACUGUGCUAUUGGGUUUGGGAAGGAUGCCAUUGGAGGAAGAAAUGGUAGAAUUUACGUGGUCACUGAUUCAGGUGAUGAUGAUGCUGUGAACCCAAAGCCAGGGACUCUUAGGCAUGCAGUGAUUCAAGAUGAACCCUUGUGGAUUAUUUUCCAGAGAGAUAUGGUUAUUCAGCUCAAGCAAGAACUGGUGAUGAAUUCUUUCAAGACUAUUGAUGGUAGAGGUGCUAGCGUUCACAUUUCUGGAGGACCAUGCAUUACUAUUCACUAUGCAACUAAUAUUAUCAUCCAUGGAUUACACAUACAUGAUUGUAAGCAAGGAGGGAAUGGUGAUAUAAGAGAUUCUCCUCACCACUCUGGGUGGUGGACUCAAUCGGACGGUGAUGGUGUUUCCAUCUUCACUAGCAAGCAUAUUUGGGUUGACCAUUGCUCGCUCUCUAAUUGUCAUGAUGGUCUGAUAGAUGCCAUUCAUGGAUCUACAGCCAUUACCAUCUCUAACAACUAUUUCACCCAUCAUGACAAGGUCAUGCUCUUGGGCCAUAGCGACUCGUAUAGUCAAGACAAGGACAUGCAAGUUACCAUUGCCUUUAAUCAUUUUGGAGAAGGGCUAGUGCAGAGAAUGCCNNNNNNNNNNAUGUGGUGAACAAUGACUAUACUCACUGGGAAAUGUAUGCAAUCGGUGGGAGUGCUUCCCCUACCAUCAACAGCCAAGGGAAUAGAUUUCUCGCGCCUGAUGACAGGUCCAAGAAAGAGGUGACCAAACACGAGGAUGCACCGGAAAGCGAGUGGAGGGGCUGGAACUGGAGGGCGGAUGGAGACUUAAUGGAGAACGGUGCCUUUUUCCGGCAAUCAGGUGCAGGAGCUUCUUCAAGCUAUGCUAGAGCUGCUAGCCUGAGUGCAAGACCAUCUUCUUUUGUGGGUUCAAUAACCAGGACUGCCGGUGCACUUAGCUGCAGGAGGGGUUCUCGUUGCUAGCUAGAAUUAAUUAAUUAACAAAAAAAAAAAAAUGAAGAAUUGAAAAUCACUAUAUUCUCUAGGCCUUAACUGGCCAAUAUAGUGUUCUAGUUGUGUCUCUUGUUUUUGACAACAUCUGAUCUUGCUUUUACUUUAAACAAAACAAAGGAUGCAAUCCUUUGUUUUGUUUAAAGUAAAAGCAAGAUCAGAUGUGUUGACUUUUUUAAUUAAU